rnacentral:rRNA from 1 species
AGAGUUUGAUCCUGGCUCAGGAUGAACGCUGGCGGUAUGCUUAACACAUGCAAGUCGAACGGAUGUUUUCGGACAUUAGUGGCGGACGGGUGAGUAACGCGUGAAAUCUAGCUUCAGGUUGGGGACAACAGUUGGAAACGACUGCUAAUACCGAAUGUGCCGAGAGGUGAAAGAUUUAUUGCCUGAAGAAGACUCGCGUCUGAUUAGCUAGUUGGUGGGGUAAGAGCUUACCAAGGCGACGAUCGGUAGCUGGUCUUGAGAGGACGAUCAGCCACACUGGGACUUGAGACACCGGCCCAGACUCCUACGGAGCAACAAUUGGGGAAUUUNCCGCAAUGGGGCAAAAGCCUGACGGAGCAAUACCGCUUGAGGGAAGAAGGCUCUUGGGUUGUAAACCUUUUUUUUCUGAGGAAGAAAAAAAUGACGGUACCUCAGGAAUCAGCAUGGGCUAACUCCGUGCCAGCAAGCCNGCGGUAAUACGGAGAUGCAAGCGUAUCCGGAAUGAUUGGGCGUAAAGCGUCCGCAAGGUGGCAUAUCAAGUUUGCGGUUAAAGGUUCUGGCUCAACCAGAAACAGGCCGUGAAAACUUGAUAAGCUAGAGUAUGGUAGGGGCAGAGGGAAUUCCCAGUGUAGCGGUGAAAUGCGUAGAGAUUGGGAAGAACACCGGUGGCGAAAGCGCUCUGUAGGCCAAAACUGACACUGAGGGACGAAAGCUAGGGGAGCGAAUGGGAUUAGAUACCCCAGUAGUCCUAGCCGUAAACGAUGGAUACUAGGUGUAGCUUGUAUCGACCCAAGCUGUGCCGUAGCUAACGCGUUAAGNUCCCGCCU